rnacentral:rRNA from 1 species
UACGUAGGGCGCAAGCGUUAUCCGGAAUUACUGGGCGUAAAGCGUGCGCAGGCGGUUUUGUAAGCCAGAUGUGAAAGCCCCGGGCUUAACCUGGGAAUGGCAUUUGGGACUGCAAGGCUGGAGUGUGGCAGAGGAGACUGGAAUUCCUGGUGUAGCAGUGAAAUGCGUAGAUAUCAGGAGGAAUACCGAUGGCGAAGGCAGGUCUCUGGGCUGACACUGACGCUCAUGCACGAAAGCGUGGGGAGCAAACAGG